AAGAAGAAUUAUCUGCAGAAAACAGAGAAACUGAAACUGAGAAGAGUCCAGCCUCUGAUGAAGCUGGAGAGAUAGAAGCCAAGUCAGACUAAUAUCAUAUACUAUGUCUUAUCUGUCGUCCCUGUCUCCCUUGGGUAAUAAGAGGAAUAUUUUUAUCAAUUAUUUUGUAAAUGCAAGUUUUUUAAUAGCUUUGGAAACAUUUUUAAGAAUGAGGGAAUCCCACCUCAUCCCAUUUUUUAAGUGGGAAUGCUUUUUAAAAAUAAAAAUAAAAAAGAGGUGAAAUCAUUCACUGGUUAUUAAUUUUUUCAUAGAACCAGAAACUAAUGAGGGAUAUUGAACUAUGGGAAGAUUUGACUGUCUUGGAUGUCAGCUUAUUAUUCCAUAGGUGGGGGGUUUGUUUUUAUAUCCUAUAA
rnacentral:lncRNA from 1 species